UUUUAGCCCUGAUCGAAGCGGUAUCCUUUUGUGCCGUUUUUUUUCGGCAUAAAAGAUAUAGUGUAGAGCAGGAAAUAGC
rnacentral:sRNA from 1 species